UACGGGGGGAGCAAGCGUUAAUCGGAAUUACUGGGCGUAAAGGGUGCGUAGGCGGGUUUUUAAGUCAGAGGUGAAAUCCUGGAGCUCAACUCCAGAACUGCCUUUGAUACUGAGAAUCUUGAGUAUGGGAGAGGUGAGUGGAACUGCGAGUGUAGAGGUGAAAUUCGUAGAUAUUCGCAAGAACACCAGUGGCGAAGGCGGCUCACUGGCCCAUAACUGACGCUGAGGCACGAAAGCGUGGGGAG
rnacentral:rRNA from 1 species